GACUGUGCACAGUGGCAUAACUACCGAGGAAGCAGACCCCGCAGUCGCAGGGGGGCCCGGAGGUACAGGGGGCCCGGCAGGGGCCUGCUUCCUCAGUAUGUGCAACCAGCCAGGAUCAUUUAGGGCAGGGGUGUCCAAACUAGGCUGCAGCAUUUUGCACCACCCCCCUCCCCAGUCGGUGCAGUGGAAGUGGCCAGCGGUGAACAGGAAGCCAGAGAGGGAGCCGGAAGAGGAGCAGAACGUCGCAGCAGCACGUCACAGCGCGCCUGUUGCACUUGAGAAAACUGCUGCCGACUGGGAUCCGACCUCUUACGAUGAUGCCACAGCACAGGCACACCAACCCGCCUCCCCAUUCCCACUGCAGCAGCCAGCAGCCUCCGUAAGAGCUGUACAGAGAAGGCCUGAAGCCCAGAUGUGACCCUUCAAGAGACUUUUAGGGUCCCCAGCAAGAGGAUAAUCUUGACCCCAAACAUGUGUAAUGCUCAUCCUGCCUGUUCCUGUUCACACACUCCAAGUUCAUUAUCCAAGCUUUCAAGGGAGAGGAGAGAAAGGCUGCCACCAAUUAAGAGAAAGUAUGUAAAACAUGCCAAAGUAGGUGAACAUCUUCAAGUCCAGCUUAAUCAAGGAAGCUUCCAGCAGACAGGGAGG